rnacentral:lncRNA from 1 species
GUAGGUAUUGGGAUCCUUACCUUGAUCCCUAUCUCCCAUGAGGAACACUUCCUCUACAUCCUCUGUAAGUAUACCUAAGUACCUUUCAGGAGGAUGGAAGAUCCUACUAAAUCUACGAGGUGGAGGAGGUACAACAUGUACUGGCUCAAUAUGAAUAGGUUCUAUAGGCACAAUGGCUCAUUGCUCUUCAGAGACUUUCUCUUAGAGCUCAUUUU